GCCAUAGGUUUAGGAGCUUGAAGUCCAGGGCGACCCAAAAGGCCCAACCCAAAUGAGCUCUGUUAUUGUUAAUAAUAAUAAAUGUGGUCUCUAUUCUCGUUCAAUCAGCUGGUCAAGUGUUUUUGGCAUGCUUGCAAGGUGUUUGUCAAAAUGGCAGAACCAUUAUCUGUUGUCUAAUCCAAGCGCCUUGGCCAAAUGAUUUUGCCCUGGUUUAAUUACUCAAGCUUCCUGAGACCAGAGCGGCCCUCACCGGAUGACUCACAAGGGAGAAAAGAGGAUGGUUUCUACUAGAAGAUACAAGUUAAGCCACGAUCAAGAUCUUCACAAUCGAUCAACAUGUACCUUCUGAUUGCUAGAUUACUUGUCUCGUAAUCUCCAUUGAUGGAUUCAACCCAUGUUGUAAAUUUGUAAUCAAGCAGCAGUCGUGAUUAACAUAACAAAACUAGUUGAUCACAAAAUUCAGGCUCCAGCCAGAAACAAAAAGUCUGGAAAUUAGACCAGUAUUGACUGGUAAUCAGCUCUGUUGUGUGCACAGAGCAAUUGGUUUGGUCUUGCCCUGCAGAAAGUAGCAAGACUGAACAGCGUUCAAUAGAAACUCAAGAAGCCAGAAGUAAAUUAACAACCCACUACAACAUCUGCGGCCGCUUUUAUUAAGACAACAUUCAAACCAAGUACAUAUACAAUAUUGACUACGAGAGAUUUGGGGAAAUGAUACAAGGAAGUCUCCCAUUUAAAGAUGCAAUGCUAACCAAGAAAACGUAAGAUUUCAUGGCUUGUGUUUCUGAGUGUAUAUAUAAUCAAUUUGAGCUGCAAGUGUUCUUCUCGUCAAACACUCGUCUUCUCCAACUCCUUCACAACUCUUCUCCAUCUCUACAGUCUCUGCUUCGGCAUUAUCCUUCAAUAAAUCAAGAACAAAAAGGAUUAAGAAAAAGCCAAUAAACCACAAGCAAGUUGAUGAAAAACUAACAUAUAUACCCCGUAUAGAGUCUCCAUCGGAGUUACAUCAGCGAAGGCUGGCUCCGGCCGGGCAGCAGAGGUCAAAGUAAAGGAAAAGAGAAGAAUGGCCAUGAUGCAAACGGUGCUGGUCCUGUAAGCCAUUCCUCUGCUUCUCCUUUGAUUUCUUGCUUUCUAUAAAACAUCAAAGAAGCGUGAAA